rnacentral:rRNA from 1 species
AUUGAACGCUGGCGGCAUGCCUUACACAUGCAAGUCGAACGGCAGCACGGGUGCUUGCCCCUGGUGGCGAGUGGCGAACGGGUGAGUAAUACAUCGGAACAUGUCCUGUAGUGGGGGAUAGCCCGGCGAAAGCCGGAUUAAUACCGCAUACGAUCUACGGAUGAAAGCGGGGGACCUUCGGGCCUCGCGCUAUAGGGUUGGCCGAUGGCUGAUUAGCUAGUUGGUGGGGUAAAGGCCUACCAAGGCGACGAUCAGUAGCUGGUCUGAGAGGACGACCAGCCACACUGGGACUGAGACACGGCCCAGACUCCUACGGGAGGCAGCAGUGGGGAAUUUUGGACAAUGGGCGAAAGCCUGAUCCAGCAAUGCCGCGUGCGUGAAGAAGGCCUUCGGGUUGUAAAGCACUUUUGUCCGGAAAGAAAUCCUUGGCUCUAAUACAGUCGGGGGAUGACGGUACCGGAAGAAUAAGCACCGGCUAACUACGUG